rnacentral:tRNA from 1 species
GUCCUGGAGGACUAAUGGUUAGGCCACAGCGCUCUCACCACUGUGGGCUGGGUUCGAUUCCUGGCCAGGGAA